UACGGAGGGUGCAAGCGUUGUCCGGAAUCACUGGGCGUAAAGGGCGCGUAGGCGGCUCAUGAAGGCUGUGGUGAAAGUCCGGGGCUCAACCUCGGAUCGGCCGUGGCGACUCGUGGGCUGGAGCACUGUAGAGGCGGGUGGAAUUCCGGGUGUAGCGGUGGAAUGCGUAGAGAUCCGGAAGAACACCAGUGGCGAAGGCGGCCCGCUGGGCAGUGGCUGACGCUGGAGGAGCGAAAGUGUGGGGAGCGAACAGG
rnacentral:rRNA from 1 species